UACGGAGGGGGCCAGCGUUGUUCGGAAUUAUUGGGCGUAAAGGGCGCGUAGGCGGCUGGGUAAGUCAAAUGUGAAAUCCCGAGGCUCAACCACGGAAUUGCGUUUGAAACUGCUCGGCUUGAGUCCCGGAGAGGGUAGUGGAAUUCCCAGUGUAGCGGUGAAAUGCGUAGAUAUUGGGAGGAACACCAGUGGCGAAGGCGACUACCUGGACGGGUACUGACGCUGAGGCGCGAAAGCGUGGGGAGCAAACAGG
rnacentral:rRNA from 1 species